GGGGGAUCACCUGGGGUGAUCUUGGGUCUUUAAAAAUUAAAAUUUAGUGAAUAGUGCCCACAAGAUCAGAUGAAAUGAUCUUAAUUAAGAUCUGUUCUAUGUUGUGUUCUUCUGCUGACGUGGCAGCUCGUAAACGAAAGAAAUGUUUAAUUUUUUUUCAUUUCAUUCGACGUUUCUUUUUUAUUUUUCUUCUUCUCUCUGAAAAAUCGAACAGGCGAUUUCACGAGAGAUUUUUUUCCUCAUCGUCUUCUCCUCUAUCCGGCGAUUGAAACACUGGGACGACCGUCUCCUCGUCUCGUCGUCUACUCCGGAUCCACCGAUUAUCGUUGUGUCCUCUGUCUCGCGAAGUCUAGAGAUCUCCUCUGUGUCGCGAAGCUCAAGAUAUCGUCCAUGGGCAGAGAAGGCGUCUCUCUCUUUCUUCGCAAAUCAUCGUAUUUAGAUUUGAGAAAUUGAAAUCGAAAACUGAGGGGAAAUAUCAUGCGUUGUUGGAUUGUUUCAAGAAAUUGGAGCAAUGUUUAUCACGUAGAGCAGAGAAAGACGUAAUGGAUUGCACAGAUCCUAAUUUCUCACAUCCUCAGUUCAGUUCUAAGCUAGUUUAACUGUGAGGAGGUGAAAGCAUUCUCCAUUUGUUAGCUAGCAUGAUUUUCAAGACAUAAUGGUGGUCAGAUCUCACAAGGAGAAGGAAGCAAAUGCAAAAAUAGAUUGGAAGAUCUAGAAGAAAACCAGAAAAACUUAUAAGGUAGAAGAAGAUGGAUAUUCUCUCUUGGUGAUGAAUACUCAAAGAGAUGAAGUGGUGAAGAACCAGUUCCGUCACAAGUUCGAGAGAGAACUAACUAUACACGUCUCUAGACACUGCUACUCAAGGUGAAUUUUCUAACUGGUUUGGCUGCGGGUACGAAGAUUACUUGGAACUAGAAAAAGAGUCUUCUUAGUGAGCAGCAAGAAGGUUUGUGAGUGGCUGCUUGUUGAGUAGCUAAGAGGAGACUUGUUAUUAUUAUUAAGAGGAUUUUGAUAUACGAUCAUUGUCCCUUGUCUUCUAAUUAACACUUAACAUCUUGCAUGAAUUUUGGAUAUGGUGCAAGACAGUGUCAAGACAUUGAUGAUAGUUAUAUGUUCCUUCUUGUUCUUGUUUUUCUCGUUACUUCACAUGUUCUGCAGUUUUUGAUAUUUUCUUUGUCUAUUUGUAACAGUUGAUACUAAGGAUUAAGUAAAUGCAUAGUUCACAAACCU